UGCAAUUGGCGAAACCAUGCGUCUGCUGAGA
rnacentral:piRNA from 1 species